rnacentral:rRNA from 1 species
UGUAGUCUGCAACUCGACUACAUGAAGCUGGAAUCGCUAGUAAUCGCGAAUCAGAAUGUCGCGGUGAAUACGUUCCCGGGUCUUGUACACACCGCCCGUCACACCAUGGGAGUCAGUAACGCCCGAAGCCGGUGACCCAACCAAACGGAGGGAGCCGUCGAAGGUGGGACCGAUAACUGGGGUGAAGUCGUAACAAGGUAAC